rnacentral:rRNA from 1 species
UACGUAGGUGGCAAGCGUUGUCCGGAUUUACUGGGCGUAAAGAGCGCGCAGGCGGUCGUUCAAGUCGCGUGUGAAAGCCCCCCGGCUCAACUGGGGAGGGUCACGCGAUACUGAUCGACUCGAAGGCAGGAGAGGGUAGUGGAAUUCCCGGUGUAGUGGUGAAAUGCGUAGAUAUCAGGAGGAACACCGGUGGCGAAGGCGGCCACCUGGACAGUAACUGACGCUGAGACGCGAAAGCGUGGGGGAGCAAACAGG